rnacentral:rRNA from 1 species
GAAUCUUAGACAAUGGGGGAAACCCUGAUCUAGCCAUGCCGCGUGGACGAUGAAGGCCUUAGGGUUGUAAAGUCCUUUCAGCUGGGAAGAUAAUGACGGUACCAGCAGGAGAAGCACCGGCUAACUCCGUGCCAGCAGCCGCGGUAAUACGGAGGGGGCUAGAGUUGUUCGGAAUUACUGGGCGUAAAGCGCACGUAGGCGGAUUGGAAAGUCAGAGGUGAAAUCCCGGGGCUCAACCCCGGAACUGCCUUUGAAACUAUCAGUCGAGAGUUCGAGAGAGGUGAGUGGAAUUCCGAGUGUAGAGGUGAAAUUCGUAGAUAUUCGGAGGAACACCAGUGGCGAAGGCGGCUCACUGGCUCGAUACUGACGCUGAGGUGCGAAAGCGUGGGGAGCAAACAGG